rnacentral:misc_RNA from 1 species
GAUGAAGAACGUAGCGAAAUGCGAUACGUAAUGUGAAUUGCAGAAUUCAGUGAAUCAUCGAAUCUUUGAACGCAUAUUGCGCUCUCUGGUAUUCCGGAGAGCAUGCUUGUUUGAGUAUCAGUAAACACCUCAACUUCCAUAUCUUUUUUGAAAUGGGAGUUGGACUUGAGUGAUCCCAACGCUUUUCCUCACCGAAAAGUGGCGGGUUACUUGAAAUGCAGGUGCAGCUGGACUUUUCUCUGAGCUAUAAGCAUAUCUAUUUAGUCUGCCUAAAAAACAGAUUAUUACCUUUGCUGCAGCUAACAUAAAGGAGAUAGUUCUUGUGCUGACUGAUGCAGGAUUCACAAAGACAGGCUUCGGCCGACUUUGUAAACUCGAUCUCAAAUCAAGUAAGACUACCCGCUGAACUUAAGCAUAUCAAUAAGCGGAGGA